rnacentral:rRNA from 1 species
AUUGAACGCUGGCGGCAUGCUUUACACAUGCAAGUCGAACGGUAACAGGCCUUCGGGUGCUGACGAGUGGCGAACGGGUGAGUAAUGCAUCGGAACGUACCUUUCAGUGGGGGAUAACGUAGCGAAAGUUACGCUAAUACCGCAUAUUCUGUGAGCAGGAAAGCAGGGGAUCGCAAGACCUUGCGCUGAUUGAGCGGCCGAUGUCAGAUUAGCUAGUUGGUGAGGUAAAGGCUCACCAAGGCGACGAUCUGUAGCGGGUCUGAGAGGAUGAUCCGCCACACUGGAACUGAGACACGGUCCAGACUCCUACGGGAGGCAGCAGUGGGGAAUUUUGGACAAUGGGGGCAACCCUGAUCCAGCCAUGCCGCGUGAGUGAAGAAGGCCUGG